rnacentral:rRNA from 1 species
AGCCCGCUCAGAAACUCAAUGAAUUGACGGGGCCGCACAAGCGGUGGAGUAUGUGGUUAAUUCGAUGCAACGCGAAGAACCUUACCUGGUCUUGACAUCCCGGAGACCCUUAGGAAACUAGGGGGUGCUUCCAUCUGGAAGAAUCUGGAGACAGGUGCUGCAUGGCUGUCGUCAGCUCGUGUCGUGAGAUGUUGGGUUAAGUCCCGCAACGAGCGCAACCCUUGCCUUUAGUUGCCAGCAGUUCGGCUGGGCACUCUAAAGGGACUGCCGGUGUUAAACCGGAGGAAGGUGGGGAUGACGUCAAGUCCUCAUGGCCUUUAUGACCAGGGCUACACACGUACUACAAUGGCCGAUACAAAGGGCAGCGACACUGCGAGGUGAAGCCAAUCCCGUAAAAUCGGUCUCAGUCCGGAUUGGAGUCUGCAACUCGACUCCAUGAAGUUGGAAUCGCUAGUAAUCGUGGAUCAGCAUGCCACGGUGAAUACGUUCCCGGGCCUU